rnacentral:rRNA from 1 species
UGUGCAAAGGUAGCAUAAUCAUUUGUCUCAUAAUUGGAGUCUGGCAUGAAGGAAUUUAUUGGGUAAAAACUGUCUCCGAAGGUUUAUUAGAAAUUACUUAGCAAGUGAAAAUACUUGUAGUUAUUUAAUAGACGAGAAGACCCUAGAAAUUUUAUAUAAUACAUGUUCAACAUGUUAUUAUUUUGUUGGGGCGACAGAAUAACAAUUAACUUAUUUUAUUUGUUAGAACUAUAUGUUGAGUUAAAUUAAAUUACUCUAGGGAUAACAGCAUAAUUUAUUAGAGUUUGUGACCUCGAUGUUGGACUAGGAAGUUUAGUAUUUAGAAGAUACUAAUAUGGGCUCUGUUCGAGCCAUUAUAUCCUACAUGAUCUGAGU